rnacentral:lncRNA from 10 species
UUAAGAACGAUGGCAGCAGUUGGCAUUUAUUGCUACAAAUUUCACUCUUAGAACUGCUUUUGCUGCUUUCCAUAUGUUUUGGGAUGGGAUCUUACUCAGUAACCAAGGCUGAGGUGCAGUGGCAUGAUCAUAACUCACUGUAACCUGAACUCCUGUCCUCAAGUGAUCCUCCUGCCUCAACCUCCUGAGUAGCUCAGACUACAGGUGUGCUCCACCAAGCCCAGAUAAUGUUUUUAAAAACUUUUGUGGAGAUAGCAUUUCACAAUGAUGCCUAGGACACUCUCAAACUUCUGGCCUUGAGUAAUCCUCCUAUCUUAGCCUUCCAAUGGACUGGAAUUAAAGGUGUAAACCACUGCUCCUAGCCUCAAUUUAAGAUUUCUUGAUUCCUAGGUUUUCAAUAAAAUUUAAAGUUACUGAGAGUUAAAAUUUUUAAUUCUCAGUGUAAAAAAUGUGCAAAUAUUAUCAAAAAGGCAUAAAGUGUGCUUGAAUAAUUUUGUGUAAUUCAGUUUUUUUAAAAGAUUCUUUCAAAAUAUAGAUUUAGGAAUAAAAUAUAAAACAAAAUAGAAAAUAGGAAGUAGAAGAGAGAGAUAUAAAAAAGGUAUAGAUAUGAAGAUAUAUUUCUGGUAAGAAAGUUUAAAAAAUAUAAAUAACUUUAUAUGAGAAGGAAUCUUGUAUGGUAAAUUUUUGUCAUAAAGUAAAAUGACUGGUUAUUUCAGGAACAGAAAGUAUAGGAUAAAGUCGAAAUUCAAGCAUGUUGCAAAUAGUUUGUGUAACUUCUGUGUAAUAAGUUUUGUGAAAAGGAAAGUUAUAAAAAUUUUUUGUGUAUAGUUAAGUUUGCUAUAAUUAAAAGAAAAUUAUUUCUAAAGAUUGAACUUUGACAUUAAAAUACACUAACAUAAAACUGGAAAUUUUCAUUUGCUAUAUUAAAACAACAAGGUUUUUAAACUCUUGAUCUGCUCUUGUUAACAUUGCAAGAAGUUUUGAUAUUUAAUUCUGUAAUCCAUUUUUUUAAAACUUCUCAGAUUUGUAUAUCAGAAGUUAGACUUUUGCUGUACCUUAUUGCAUGGGAUUUGUAAGUCAUACGUGAUUACCUCCUGAUAGAGUUUGGAUGAUUGUCCCUACAAAUCUCAUAUUGGAAUGUAAUUCCCAGUGUUAGAGGUGGGACCUGGUGGGAAGUGUUUGGGUCAUGAAUGUGUUGGUGCUCUUCCUGUGGUGAUGAGUUACUGUGAGAUCUGGUUGUUAAAAAGAGUCUGGGAUCUCUCCCUUCUCUCUUACUCCCUCUGUCACUAUAUGACAUGGUGGCUCCCCCUUUUCCUUCUGCCAUAUUUGUAAGCUUCCUGAGGCCUCCCUAGAAGCAGAUGCUGGUGCAAUGCUUCUCAUACAGCCUGCAGAAACCCUGGGCCGAAUAAACCUCUUUUCUUUAUAAAUUGCCCAGUCUCAGGUAUUCCUUUACAGCAAUGCAAAGUGGACUAAUACACCUUCUGUUCUUUCUUCUCUUGAAUAGGUAUAUCUUUUUGCUUGGCUGGGAUGAUAACUCUGUCCUUCAACCUUUUCAUUGACUUAUAACUUCUUUCCUCAUUUCAGACAUGGCUGUUGUGGCCUGAUGCUGCAGUGUUUAUCUUGAAGUCUAAAGAAGCAAUGUGUUCCUCCAGUGUAACUUGAUUCUGUACUCCAGGCAUUUCUUGAUGUAUCUGAAUUGUUCAAUGUAAUCAGAAAACUUCUCAUGUUUUUACUAAGAGCCAUGUAUUCCCCUGCUCAAGGAAUGUGUUCACAUUUGCAAUGCUGUGUACAGACUUCACUUCGUUCAACAUAGAUUUUGGUUUAAUGGAAUUCAAAUGCGGAUGCUUGUUCACAGCCUUGGAUUUGUCUGUUUUUGGAAAGAUACAACCUCCAUGAGUAUAUCUGCAUGAAAACCACAGACAAUGAAGGGAACAGAACACCGGCCUCCGAGAGUCCAUGGAGCAAUGGGAAAAUUGCAGUGAUUGCUCAUCACUGUGAAACUUCUACUUUGAAUACAGUAUCUUCUGGCAAGCACUGGGGACUGCAGUCGACAAUGCUGCUGAAUAUACCUGAGUACAUAGGUCUCACUGUGUUGACCAGGCUGCACUUGAACCUCUGACCUCAAGCAAUCCUUCUGCCUUGGCCUCCCAAAGUGCUGGAAUUAUAGUCAUGAGCCACCACACCCAGCCCCUAAGUGGACAUUUAAUCCAUGUACAUUCAAGGUUAUUAUUGUCUAUAUUUGAUAUAAUCAAAUACUUAGUCAUUUUAAAAUUAUUUUAAUAGUUUCAAAUAUAUUUGUUAAAUUUGCUCUAUUUGAAUCAGGAUCUAAAGAAGUUUCAAAGUUGCAUUGGCUAAUAUAUCUUUUUAGUUUUUAAAAAUAUAUAUGAAUUCCUUUCUCCUGCUUUUUAGCUCUGUGUAUUUGCUGAAUAAUCCAGGAUAUUCAUCCUGUUGAAUAUUCCAUACCUUGUGAUUAUCUUAUUAAACCCUACGGUGUUCUUGCAUGUUUCUCUCUUUGACAUAUUUCCUGUAUAUUAUCAUAAAAUAGAGAAUAUUUACCAAUUAGGCUCAUUUCUAGUUGGUUCUAUGUGCUCCAUAUUAUACUUUAUGUGUAUUCACUUCAUGUGAUAUAAAAAUUGAUCAGUAGGUUCAGGUAUUUUCAGCUGAUUCAUUCCAUAUAUGUUUUCUUCUGAAACAGUUACUCGUCAUUUUAGCUUCUAUUGGUUGUUAUCUUAGGCCCAUUAAUUCAUUGGGUUCCAAAUGAAUUUGUCUGUAUGUUAGUGUCCUAUGAAACAAUUCUUUUCUCCGAUGUUUUAUAACUUAAUUAAAAUGCCAGAUCUUGAUUUUUAGCAGUUGUAAUUUUUUUCUGUUAAUUUAAUUACAUUUUUAAGUUACAUAAAACAGCUACAUGAUUUCAAAGUCAAAAAUAUAAAAUAAGAUGUAUUCAGAAUAACUUUUAUCCCUGUGCCUUGCCCUGUUUCCUCCUCCUGCCAUAAGAAAAUUAUAUAUGGAUUAUGUUUUUGCCAUUUUAAGUAUGCUUAUUUAAAUAUUUAUAAAAUAUAUACUUAUAUAUGCAUGUAAAUCCAAUGUAUUUAUCCCUGUUUUAACAUAAAAAUAACAUUCUGGUGUCACUUUUUUGUUUCUUUUCAGUUAAGGUAUACCUUGUAGAUUACUUUAGAGUAGUAUUUGGAGAUAUUUCUCACUCAUUUUAUAGUUGCUUCAUACUCUAUUGCGUACAAGUUUUGCAAGUAGUACUCACUAAUUGUCAUUUGGUUACUUUCCUUUUUUUUUUUUUUUUUUGAGAUGGAGUCUUGCUCUGUCAUCCUGGCUGGAGUGCAGAGGCACGUUCUGGGCUCACUGAAACCUCUGCCUCCCAGGUUCAAGCGAUCCUCCCACCUCAGCCUCUCAAGUAGCUGGAAUUACAAGUGUGCACCACCACACCCGGCUAAUUUUUGUAUUUUUGGUAGAGAUGGGGUUUCGCCAUGUUAGCCACGCUGGUCUUGAAUUCCUGGCCUCAAGUGAUCUGCCCGCCUCAGCCUCCCAAAAUGCUGGGAUCACAGGCAUGAGCCACCACGCCCGGCCUACUUUCCGUUCUUUACUAUGAAAAACAAUGCUUCAAUGAAUAGACUUGUGUGCAUCAAUUAUUUUGUAUUUUUGCCAAUAUAUCUUUAGGAUAGAAGUAGGAUUGCUAGACCAAAAGUCAGUACCAUGUAAAUUUUUUAAGAUAUUGCCAAGAGUUGUACCAUUUUGUAUUCUCACCAACAAUGCAUAAGAGUGCCUCUCUCGGUGUUUUAGACAUGAAGUCCU